UCCAUUUUUAUUGAAAGUGACGGGCGAUAUGUGCACAUUUAAUUUAUUUUUAAAUAUUAAUUUUUCUUUAUAGUUUACUUUUAAAUCCUAUUUAAUUUUUUUUAUUUUUUUAUACUAUGUAAUUUUCUAUAGUAUUCCACCCUUUCUUUUAUUUAAUUUUUGUCUUGAUUUGUUUUACUAUGUUCUUUUAAAUUUUUAAUAGAAUUAACAAUUUUUAUCUCUUUAAAACAAUGAUAUAAAAAAUUAUAAUAAAAGUUCAUUUAAUCGUGGGUUGUCGAUUAUAAUGCAGAAUCCUCUAAAUAUUUUUUAUGCCGCCAUUUUUAACAGUUUUUUCUUAUUUAGGUACUUUCUUAUUUAGGCUAAAA
rnacentral:rRNA from 1 species